rnacentral:tmRNA from 1 species
GGGGACGUUCCGGAUUCGACAGGGGCUGUUUGGGCAUUUUAAGCGUGUCGGAGGCUGCGGCUCCGUAAACAACGCUACACAGUUUAUAAUAACUGGCAAACAAAACAAUUUCGCAGUAGCUGCCUAAGAGCACUCUGCAUCAUCCCAUGAGCUUUCCUGUGGCCCAUGACGAUGAUUCAACUUUAACAGGAUAUCCAGAGAGUCUGCCGUCUUAAGACUCUGUGGAGAAACCAAUAAGACUAGCAUGGACUUGAGGGUUCGUUCAUUACCAUCAUCCAUGCGAAACUGAGAAAUGAACUACACACGUAGAAAGAAAUGUAUCAAGGUCUCUGGACGCGGGUUCAACUCCCGCCGUCUCCAUUU